rnacentral:misc_RNA from 1 species
GAUGGAGAACGUAGCGAAAUGCGAUAAGUAGUGUGAAUUGCAGAAUUCAGUGAAUCAUCGAAUCUUUGAACGCACAUUGCGCCCCCUGGAAUUCCGGGGGGCAUGCCUGUUCGAGCGUCUCAGGGACGAACCCUCGCGCGGGUGUACGCGCGGUCGUGGCUGCGGUGGCGUGCCCGAGGCGGCGGCCACCGCGCUGGAAUCCAUGGGCGGACGCCUGCCGCGUGGCCGAGCGUGAUAUGACGCAUUGGCGCUCGCACGCGGCGAGGCUGCCAGCCCUGGCCCGUCUGUCGGGCGGGGGAGAGCAAGACACGUGAACUCCUCGAAUCAGGUAGGGAUACCCGCUGAACUUAAGCAUAUCAAUAAGCGGAGGA